rnacentral:rRNA from 1 species
UACGUAGGGACCAAGCGUUGUCCGGAAUCAUUGGGCGUAAAGCGCGCGUAGGUGGCCAUUUAAGUCCGCUGUGAAAGUCAGAGGCUCAACCUUUGAAAGCCGGUGGAUACUGGAUGGCUAGAGUACGGAAGAGGCGAGUGGAAUUCCUGGUGUAGCGGUGGAAUGCGCAGAUAUCAGGAGGAACACCGGCGGUGUAGACGGCUUCUGGACCGUAGCUGACGCUGAGACACGAAAGCGUGGGUAGCAAACAGG